UACGUAGGGUGCGAGCGUUGUCCGGAAUUAUUGGGCGUAAAGGGCUCGUAGGCGGUUUGUCGCGUCGGGAGUGAAAACACUGGGCUUAACUCAGUGCUUGCUUCCGAUACGGGCAGACUUGAGGUAUGCAGGGGAGAACGGAAUUCCUGGUGUAGCGGUGAAAUGCGCAGAUAUCAGGAGGAACACCGGUGGCGAAGGCGGUUCUCUGGGCAUUACCUGACGCUGAGGAGCGAAAGUGUGGGGAGCGAACAGG
rnacentral:rRNA from 1 species